UCUGAAAUGACAGGAGAGUUAGUGAACUAGAACAAAACAACAUGAGCAACUAAAAUAAUGUUUUAAGAGCUGGAGAGAUUCGUGACAAAAGAAGCUGGACAUUAUGCAGCCUUCCAAAACUCCUCUGUGUUAAAUGGAACUGGCCAGAAGAUGAUUUUCUGUUUUACAAAGGACAAGCUCCAUCCUCCACAUCACCAUCUUUGCACUGCUGCUGCUUCUCUAUGGCACUGCUGGGAUGCUGCCCUCACUGACAGGAUAACUGGAAGCAGCUGUUUUACAGCCAAUGGACAUGUCAAAGAUUCAACAAACAGCUACAGACAAGAUGCAACUACAGAGACGUGUUCCUCUACCAGUGUCCAGGUUUCUUCACAACACUUCACAGCAGAAGGUCUUCACUGUGAUCCCUCCACAGGACUACAUGGAGAGCUAAACAUGUCAAAGAAGCUGGACAUCAUGCAGCCUUCCAAAACUUCUCUGUGUGAAAUGGCACAGGACAGAAGAUGGUGUCUGCUCUAGUGUCUGCUAAGUGGUCGAGGACCAGCUCCAUACUCUUAUGUCCACAGUUCAGUGGAGUCUAACUACUGUUGGUCUUUUGGCAAGGGAUCAGAUGUAGGGGAAAGUGGGAAACAAGGGGUGGAUCUACUUCCCCCCUGGCACAAAUCACCCCAACUGCUGCGGAUCAUUCAGUCAGUCAUCAGUGACAGCAUCAAGCAUAAACCAGUUGCAAAGGUAUUGUAUUCCUUUGGUACAAGACGCCUCUUUGACCAGCCAACUAACAUAAACACUGUCAGCUGGGAUUGGCUCCAGCGACCCUGUACGCAGGAUAAGCGGUUGACGAUGGAUGGAUGGAUUUCAGUACCCCCAAACUAAUCAAUUACUUUGUAUCAGGUUGAUUGAUUUUAAACUGUGAAACGUGAUUCCAGACUUAGAAGCUGGAAAAGUUUGAUUAAAAGACCACAAUAUAUUUCGAAACCGAUAUGAAUCUCACCUUCUUUGUCCUAUCGAUGUGUUCUGGGAUUGUUAUGCUGCGUUCCAGG